CCUACGGGAGGCAGCAGUGAGGAAUUUUGCGCAAUGGGGGAAACCCUGACGCAGCGACGCCGCGUGGAGGAUGACGGCCUUCGGGUCGUAAACUCCUGUCAGAGGUGAAGAAUCCCCGCAAGGGGUUGACGGUAACCUCAAAGGAAGCCCCGGCUAACUACGUGCCAGCAGCCGCGGUAAGACGUAGGGGGCAAACGUUACUCGGAAUUACUGGGCGUAAAGGGUGUGUAGGCGGCCGAGCAAGUCAAAGAUGAAAUCCCGAGGCUUAACUUCGGAACGG
rnacentral:rRNA from 1 species